CUCUACAAGAGUUUUUAUCUGCUUAAAAAUUUAUGAACUCUCACAGCAACGCAGUUCUUUGUGCUUUGCCCUGACAGCAACUUGUACCAUUCCUAUGGCUUUUCACACACGCUUUAAACAAUGGCUCUCCCUACUGGCGCCUUAACAUCAUACACCACAAAAGACCUCUGCCGUUUGCUUUCCUCAGUGAAAAUCCUGGUUCCUUCAGGCCUCAAGUUCAUUCUUUCAGUAGGUGCUUCCCAAGUAUUCGAGGUGUCCCUACCCAUGGCAGGGGAGUUGGACCUAAACGAUGGACCUGGAUGAUCUUUAAGGUCCCUUCCAGCCCAAACAAUUCCAAGAUUCUAUACGGUCAGUAAAUAUACAAUGGAAGGAUAAUCUUCUACUGCUAAAUAAUUGCUUACUUCUACAGUUUAAUCUCUUUUAGUUGAUGCUAGCAAGAAAAUAGUCUCCUGGGGCUUUGUCAGGAAGAGAAAGAGAUGACUGUUAACAGAUCCCCUUGCCUUUUCUUACUACUAAUUUAGCCAACAGUUGAGGUCUGGUAACUGACAGCCCCACAGCACUGAUCCAGCAGCCUUAGUCAGGCUCGUGGGUCACCUGUAAGCUUUAAUUUAAAAAAGCAAUCCCUUUACUACUGCUGUCUGAUAUAAAGUUGCAGGAGACCUUCUACCUAUCUUACCAUUUGAAGGCUCAAAAGUGGUUCAAGGAUUUAGAAAUAUAACUGAACACUAAACCCUCAAUUCUAAAAUACUACCUAAAAUCCUCUCCCCAACCCAAGGCUGUACUAUUGCCACUUUAGCCUCUAGAAAGUCUUUAACUUCAAACUCAAGUUUGGAGAGUUAUUUUGUUGAUUUGUUGUUUUGGGUUUUUUCCCCUCUCUGUCCUUCAAUUCCCAACGAAUUUGAAUGUGUGACCGCUAGUUCCUUCCUAUUUAAUCCUUAGUAAGACUUAUUAAAUCAUUCUUUUUACGUUCCUACACAUCAAGAACGAAUACAUUUGAUUGGACUGUAACUCCAGCCAGAAGAGACUGCAACAGCAAGUUCCAGAUUCUUCUCAGGAUCCAGACAAGCAAGUGGACAGAAAAACUGAAUGCAGUAUCACGCUAACAGAAACCUGCUUUGACAAUACAACAAAUUUCACUAGAGAUAUUUUAAAAAACAGGAUAUAGAAAUCAAUAUGGAUCAAGGCUUUUGAGAUCUCCCGGUCAUCAGGAAAUGCAGAAGUAAACAUCUGGAGUGAAGACAAGUAACUCUGAAAAGCAGUAUCCAAGAGAAGAUACUUCCCAACAGAGAGAGCAGGAAAAAAACACCCCAAAAAAACAGUUGGCAGCAGCUUUGAUAUUCUAAGUCCUGUGGCAGCAAAACUUCCUGCUCCUUCUCCUGGAAUGCCUUUGACUAUGUGUGUCCGCUAGUUCCUUCCUAUUUAAUCCUUAGUAAGACUUAUUAAAUCAUUAAACCAAUUUCAAUCGUGGUUCAGACACCAAAUGCAACACAGUAAGUGCUGUCUGGCUUGUGGUACAGAUUUUCUGCUCCAUACCAUCAGGAUAAAGUUAAGGUAGCAAAACAAUCACCCAUUUGCAGAUGGAAUGGUAUAUAGCCAACUGCUAAGUGACACAUUUUCAUAUAAAUACAGACAGUACUGAUUAAUGGUAGAACACCAUUCUUCCUUAUAAUCUCUCCAUAGGUCAGCAGCACUGAAAAAAUACAGCUGUAGUAGUGGAUGACAUGUUCUGGCUCAAAGGAUGUUCUGAGAUCCCAUCUAUUUUCCCCCACUGGUUGAACAAUUGGUCUUACAGUAGAGUGAAACAGGAGGGUCUCAAUGCAUAGUAAACAGCCAGUAUGGUACUAGAAGGAAGAGUAGGAGCAGUUAUAUCAGCAGCAGAUAACAGUCAAAACCCCAACACCCACAUAGAGCAAACAGCAAUUCUUUACGCAAUCAACAGACACUGGUUUAGCUUUCGGCAUAAAUAAACUGUAAUUUAUAGAGGAAAACAGUUCCCUUUUUCUUUUCCUCAGCUAUUCACCAUCUGUGAGUACCCAGAGCAACUUGAGGUUGUCUUCAUGUCUCAGAUAGGUUUUCACACAGAAUUUUUAGACCCGGUAGCACAAGAACGCAUUUCAUUUAGAGUACUUGUACAAUGGUGGACUGCAGGAGUUGGGGCGAAGUCCUAGUAUGCAAAUCCUGAAGAGAUACAAAUAUUCUCUUAUCAGCAGCUCUUGCAAAGGUAACUAAUUGGUACAACUUCAGCAUUUGCUGUUUGCUAGAUGAAUCUAUACCCCUUAUCACCUAUACCAUGCUUUUUGACACUUUUGUAGUAUGUGGAAGCUGCAGAGACUAACGUCAUGAAGCGCAUCAGACAAAAGUUGACAAAGGUAGAUCAAGCAUCCGAAAUGCAGAAAAAGAACAGUAAUAAAGACUGGCAAUACUACAAGGCAGAUUUUGUUAUAGGUAAGGUUAACAAACAAAAAUCAGAUCUUUUAGCAUAUUGAACAUCAUUGUACGCAUCUUUCUAGGUACUUCAGUCGGAGAUACAACAAUGGUAAUAUAAAAGAUUAGCAUGUCAUAGUCAAAUUUUU